AUUGAACGCUGGCGGCAGGCCUAACACAUGCAAGUCGAGCGGAUGACGGGAGCUUGCUCCUUGAUUCAGCGGCGGACGGGUGAGUAAUGCCUAGGAAUCUGCCUGGUAGUGGGGGACAACGUUUCGAAAGGAACGCUAAUACCGCAUACGUCCUACGGGAGAAAGCAGGGGACCUUCGGGCCUUGCGCUAUCAGAUGAGCCUAGGUCGGAUUAGCUUGUUGGUGAGGUAAUGGCUCACCAAGGCGACGAUCCGUAACUGGUCUGAGAGGAUGAUCAGUCACACUGGAACUGAGACACGGUCCAGACUCCUACGGGAGGCAGCAGUGGGGAAUAUUGGACAAUGGGCGAAAGCCUGAUCCAGCCAUGCCGCGUGUGUGAAGAAGGUCUUCGGAUUGUAAAGCACUUUAAGUUGGGAGGAAGGGUUGUAGAUUAAUACUCUGCAAUUUUGACGUUACCGACAGAAUAGCACCGGCUAACUCUGUG
rnacentral:rRNA from 1 species